rfam:Otolemur garnettii contig041541, whole genome shotgun sequence.
GCCAGGCAUUGUGAUGGGCGCCUGUAGUCCCAGCUACUUGGGAGGCUGAGGCAGGAGACUCGCUUGAGCCCAGGAGUUGGAGGUUGCUGUGAGCUGUGAUGCCAUGGCACUCUACCCAGGAGGAUAGCUUGAGGCUCUGUCUAAAAAAGGAAUUGGAGUAUAUGUUGAAAGAUUUGAUGAGACAUAUGGCUUCUUUUCUUUCUUCUUUUUUUUUUUUUUUGAGACAGAGCCUCAAGCUGUCCCCCUGGGUAGAGUGCCGUGGCAUUACAGCUCACAGCAACCUCCAACUCCUGGGCUCAAGCGAGUCUCCUGCCUCCG